GAUUUGGCGGUAUUUUAGUCUGCUCAGAGGAACCUGUCCUGUAAUUGAUGAUCCACGAUUAAUUGUACUUAUUUUAAAGGUUUGUAUAUCGUCGUAGGUGGAAUGUUUUUAAAGAAUUAGGAAAUGUUCAAAAUUUAUAUAAAUAAAGGAAAUCAGAUCAAGAUACAGCGUAUAGAUAAGAAGAGAUGGGUUACAAUAAAUAGAUUUAGAUGGUUGGAAUAAUUAACAUUAUUUUAUAAAGUGGAUUUGAAAGUAAUAUAAUUAAUUUAAAUUAUAUGAGUAUAGCUCUAGAAUAUGUACAUAUCGCCCGUCGCUCCCUCUCCAAAGAGGGAUAAGUCGUAACAUAGUAGGUGUACUGGAAAGUGUACCUAGAAUGA
rnacentral:rRNA from 1 species